ACCAGACUCCUACGGGAGGCAGCAGUGGGGGAUAUUGCACAAUGGGGGGAACCCUGAUGCAGCGACGCCGCGUGGGUGAAGGAGUGCUUCGGCAUGUAAAGCCCUAUCGGCAGGGAAGAAGCAAGACGGUACCUGACUAAGAAGCCCCGGCUAACUACGUGCCAGCAGCCGCGGUAAUACGUAGGGGGCAAGCGUUAUCCGGAUUUACUGGGUGUAAAGGGAGCGUAGACGGUUGUGCAAGUCUGAAGUGAAAGCCCGCGGCUCAACUGCGGAACGGCUUUGGAAACUGUGUAACUGGAGUGCUGGAGAGGUAAGCGGAAUUCCUGGUGUAGCGGUGAAAUGCGUAGAGAUCAGGAGGAACACCGGCGGCGAAGGCGGCUUACUGGACAGUAACUGACGUUGAGGCUCGAAAGCGUGGGGAGCAAACAGGAUUAGAUACCCUGGUAAU
rnacentral:rRNA from 1 species